AUGGCAUUUUGUUAUGUUCUGUAUACUAAAUUGGUUUCAUUUCCUUGGCAGACUACUUCAAGGCGUCUUGCUGACAGGAAGAGUGCGAAGUUUCAGAAGAACGUCACAAAGAGGGGCUCAGUGCCUGAAACUACUGUGAAGAAGGGGAAUGACUAUCCUGUUGGACCUAUCGUGCUUGGAUUCUUCAUCUUUGUGGUCAUAGGAUCAUCCUUGUUUCAGAUUAUCAGGACGGCUACUAGUGGUGGGAUGGCUUAA
rnacentral:rRNA from 1 species